rnacentral:rRNA from 1 species
CCUACGGGCGGCAGCAGUGGGGGAUAUUGCACAAUGGGGGGAACCCUGAUGCAGCGACGCCACGUGGGUGAAGAAGCGCCUCGGCGCGUAAAGCCCUGUCAGCAGGGAAGAAAAUGACGGUACCUGAAGAAGAAGCCCCGGCUAACUACGUGCCAGCAGCCGCGGUAAUACGUAGGGGGCAAGCGUUAUCCGGAUUUACUGGGUGGAAAGGGGGCGCAGACGGCGAUGCAAGCCAGGAGUGAAAGCCCGGGGCCCAACCCCGGGACUGCUCUUGGAACUGCGUGGCUGGAGUGCAGGAGGGGCAGGCGGAAUUCCUGGUGUAGGGGUGAAAUGCGUAGAUAUCAGGAGGAACACCGGUGGCGAAGGCGGCCUGCUGGACUGCAACUGACGUUGAGGCCCGAAAGCGUGGGGAGCAAACAGGAUUAGAUACCCCAGUAGUC